rnacentral:rRNA from 1 species
UACGGAGGGUGCGAGCGUUGUCCGGAAUCAUUGGGCGUAAAGGGCGCGUAGGUGGCGCGGUCAGUUCGUGGUGAAAGCGCGGGGCUCAACCCCGCGUCGGCCAUGAAUACUGCUGGGCUGGAGCACUGUAGAGGCAGGCGGAAUUCCGGGUGUAGCGGUGGAAUGCGUAGAGAUCCGGAAGAACACCGGUGGCGAAGGCGGCCUGCUGGGCAGUUGCUGACACUGAGGCGCGACAGCGUGGGGAGCAAACAGGG